GUGGGGAAUAUUGGACAAUGGGCGAAAGCCUGAUCCAGCCAUGCCGCGUGUGUGAAGAAGGUCUUCGGAUUGUAAAGCACUUUAAGUUGGGAGGAAGGGCAGUAAGUUAAUACCUUGCUGUUUUGACGUUACCGACAGAAUAAGCACCGGCUAACUUCGUGCCAGCAGCCGCGGUAAUACGAAGGGUGCAAGCGUUAAUCGGAAUUACUGGGCGUAAAGCGCGCGUAGGUGGUUUUGUAAGUUGGAGUUGAAAUCCCCGGGCUCAACCUGGGAACUGCCUCCAAAACUGCAUGACUAUAGUACGGUAGAGGGUAGUGGAAUUUCCUGUGUAGCGGUGAAAUGCGUAGAUAUAGGAAGGAACACCAGUGGCGAAGGCGACUACCUGGACUGAUACUGACACUGAGGUGCGAAAGCGUGGGGAGCAAACAGGAUUAGAUACCCUAGUAGUCC
rnacentral:rRNA from 1 species